rnacentral:rRNA from 1 species
GAUGAACGCUAGCUACAGGCUUAACACAUGCAAGUCGAGGGGCAGCAUGGUCUUAGCUUGCUAAGGCCGAUGGCGACCGGCGCACGGGUGAGUAACACGUAUCCAACCUGCCGUCUACUCUUGGACAGCCUUCUGAAAGGAAGAUUAAUACAAGAUGGCAUCAUGAGUCCGCAUGUUCACAUGAUUAAAGGUAUUCCGGUAGACGAUGGGGAUGCGUUCCAUUAGAUAGUAGGCGGGGUAACGGCCCACCUAGUCUUCGAUGGAUAGGGGUUCUGAGAGGAAGGUCCCCCACAUUGGAACUGAGACACGGUCCAAACUCCUACGGGAGGCAGCAGUGAGGAAUAUUGGUCAAUGGGCGAGAGCCUGAACCAGCCAAGUAGCGUGAAGGAUGACUGCCCUAUGGGUUGUAAACUUCUUUUAUAAAGGAAUAAAGUCGGGUAUGGAUACCCGUUUGCAUGUACUUUAUGAAUAAGGAUCGGCUAACUCCGUGCCAGCAGCCGCGGUAAUACGGAGGAUCCGAGCGUUAUCCGGAUUUAUUGGGUUUAAAGGGAGCGUAGAUGGAUGUUUAAGUCAGUUGUGAAAGUUUGCGGCUCAACCGUAAAAUUGCAGUUGAUACUGGAUAUCUUGAGUGCAGUUGAGGCAGGCGGAAUUCGUGGUGUAGCGGUGAAAUGCUUAGAUAUCACGAAGAACUCCGAUUGCGAAGGCAGCCUGCUAAGCUGCAACUGACAUUGAGGCUCGAAAGUGUGGGUAUCAAACAGGAUUAGAUACCCUGGUAGUCCACACGGUAAACGAUGAAUACUCGCUGUUUGCGAUAUACUGCAAGCGGCCAAGCGAAAGCGUUAAGUAUUCCACCUGGGGAGUACGCCGGCAACGGUGAAACUCAAAGGAAUUGACGGGGGCCCGCACAAGCGGAGGAACAUGUGGUUUAAUUCGAUGAUACGCGAGGAACCUUACCCGGGCUUAAAUUGCAGAUGAAUUACGGUGAAAGCCGUAAGCCGCAAGGCAUCUGUGAAGGUGCUGCAUGGUUGUCGUCAGCUCGUGCCGUGAGGUGUCGGCUUAAGUGCCAUAACGAGCGCAACCCUUGUUGUCAGUUACUAACAGGUUCCGCUGAGGACUCUGACAAGACUGCCAUCGUAAGAUGUGAGGAAGGUGGGGAUGACGUCAAAUCAGCACGGCCCUUACGUCCGGGGCUACACACGUGUUACAAUGGGGGGUACAGAGGGCCGCUACCACGCGAGUGGAUGCCAAUCCCCAAAACCUCUCUCAGUUCGGACUGGAGUCUGCAACCCGACUCCACGAAGCUGGAUUCGCUAGUAAUCGCGCAUCAGCCACGGCGCGGUGAAUACGUUCCCAGGCC